rnacentral:rRNA from 1 species
GAUGAACGCUGGCGGCGUGCCUAAUACAUGCAAGUCGAGCGAACGGACGAGAAGCUUGCUUCUCUGAUGUUAGCGGCGGACGGGUGAGUAACACGUGGAUAACCUACCUAUAAGACUGGGAUAACUUCGGGAAACCGGAGCUAAUACCGGAUGAUAUUUUGAACCGCAUGGUUCAAAAGUGAAAGACGGUCUUGCUGUCACUUAUAGAUGGAUCCGCGCUGCAUUCGCUAGUUGGUAAGGUAACGGCUUACCAAGGCAACGAUGCAUAGCCGACCUGAGAGGGUGAUCGGCCACACUGGAACUGAGACACGGUCCAGACUCCUACGGGAGGCAGCAGUAGGGAAUCUUCCGCAAUGGGCGAAAGCCUGACGGAGCAACGCCGCGUGAGUGAUGAAGGUCUUCGGAUCGUAAAACUCUGUUAUUAGGGAAGAACAUAUGUGUAAGUAACUGUGCACAUCUUGACGGUACCUAAUCAGAAAGCCACGGCUAACUACGUG